AACGUAGGUGGCGAGCGUUAUCCGGAUUUACUGGGCGUAAAGGGCUCGUAGGCGGCCAACUAAGUCAGACGUGAAAUCCCUCGGCUUAACCGGGGAACUGCAUCUGAUACUGGAUGGCUUGAGUUCGGGAGAGGGAUGUGGAAUUCCAGGUGUAGCGGUGAAAUGCGUAGAUAUCUGGAGGAACACCGGUGGCGAAGGCGGCAUCCUGGACCGACACUGACGCUGAGGAGCGAAAGCCAGGGGAGCAAACGGG
rnacentral:rRNA from 1 species